UACGUAGGGACCAAGCGUUGUCCGGAAUUAUUGGGCGUAAAGAGCUUGUAGGCGGUCUGUCGCGUCUGCUGUGAAAAUCCGGGGCUCAACCCCGGACUUGCAGUGGGUACGGGCAGACUAGAGUGUGGUAGGGGAGACUGGAAUUCCUGGUGUAGCGGUGAAAUGCGCAGAUAUCAGGAGGAACACCGAUGGCGAAGGCAGGUCUCUGGGCCACUACUGACGCUGAGAAGCGAAAGCAUGGGGAGCGAACAGG
rnacentral:rRNA from 1 species